AACGAACGCUGGCGGCAGGCCUAAAACAUGCAAGUCGAACGAACCUUCGGGUUAGUGGCGCACGGGUGAGUAACGCGUGGGAAUGUGCCUCUGGGUGCGGAAUAACGUAGGGAAACUUACGCUAAUACCGCAUAAUAUCUACGGAUCAAAGAUUUAUCGCCCAGAGAUCAGCCCGCGUUAGAUUAGGUAGUUGGGGAGGUAAUGGCUCACCAAGCCUACGAUCUAUAGCUGGUCUGAGAGGAUGAUCAGCCACACUGGAACUGAGACACGGUCCAGACUUCUACGGGAGGCAGCAGUUAGGAAUAUUGGACAAUGGGGGCAACCCUGAUCCAGCCAUGCCGCGUGUGUGAUGAAGGCCUUAGGGUUGUAAAGCACUUUCGUCCGCGAAGAUAAUGACGGUACUAUAUGAAUAAGCACCGGCUAACUCCGUGCCAGCCGCCGCAGUAA
rnacentral:rRNA from 1 species